rnacentral:rRNA from 1 species
GACGAACGCUGGCGGCGUGCCUAAUACAUGCAAGUAGAACGCUGAAGGAGGAGCUUGCUUCUCUGGAUGAGUUGCGAACGGGUGAGUAACGCGUAGGUAACCUGCCUGGUAGCGGGGGAUAACUAUUGGAAACGAUAGCUAAUACCGCAUAAUAGCAGUUAUUGCAUGAUAACUGUUUGAAAGUUGCAAUUGCACCACUACCAGAUGGACCUGCGUUGUAUUAGCUAGUUGGUGGGGUAACGGCUCACCAAGGCGACGAUACAUAGCCGACCUGAGAGGGUGAUCGGCCACACUGGGACUGAGACACGGCCCAGACUCCUACGGGAGGCAGCAGUAGGGAAUCUUCGGCAAUGGACGGAAGUCUGACCGAGCAACGCCGCGUGAGUGAAGAAGGUUUUCGGAUCGUAAAGCUCUGUUGUAAGAGAAGAACGAGUGUGAGAGUGGAAAGUUCACACUGUGACGGUAUCUUACCAGAAAGGGACGGCUAACUACGUG